rnacentral:tmRNA from 3 species
GGGGAUGACAGGUUUCGACAGCGUGAUUUCUAGCGUUCGCUAGCUUCUGUUCGGGAUGGCAACGGUUCCCGAUACCCACUUGUUGCACACUAUAAUUGCCGACUCUCUAGUUAGCAGAGCCAAUCGUAUUGCUGAAGGUGUUCUCGCUCGUAUGAGCUUGACCCCUCAGUUUGCAAUGGCUGCAUAAGUUCGCUCUACGCGAACGCGUCUCUCCUCCCAUCCUCGCGUAAGAGGAAGAGGCGUCACUUAGCGAGGUGAGUAUGAACCUGACGUGAUUCAUACUGACAUAAAGCGUCACCCCUCUCUGCCGAUCUUGGCCUCAUUCUUAUGGCAGCGAGUAUCGAACGAGGCAUGACAGUAUGAGCACGUUCUCUACACGUUGGACCCGGGUUCAAUUCCCGGCAUCUCCACCA